AUGGCAAUCGUUCCAGCAAUGCCGACAAGCACACCUUUGCACACCAGCACAAGCAACACUCAAGCAGAUGAAACAGCCGCCGAUACUGAAGUGAAUGAUGAAACCGAUGACGAAGCACAAGGGGAUGAAGAUGGUGGGCAAUCAGAAAUCAUAGUACCUCAGCCACCGUAUCUUCGGCAGACAUUUGAUUCGUUUGAAGAUGCAAAGGAAUUCUACCAGACAUAUGCAAAGUUCCAUGGGUUUGCGGUCAACAUCGAAUACCAUAGGAAAAUUAAAAAAACUAACGAGUACAGCAGAGGUGAGAUGAGGUGCUACAAGGCACGAAGAAACAAGAAGGGCAAAGGUGAUGCGCAUGUUGUUCCGGAACGAAAGAGAGGCAUCAUUGUCAAGACGGAAUGCCCUGUCCGGUGUAAGCUUAACAUAGAUGGAGCAUAG
rnacentral:rRNA from 1 species